rnacentral:lncRNA from 1 species
GCUUGGUGCGCCGCAGGCCGGCUGCUGCCAUAAAUCUCCGCGCCGGCCCUGCUUCCUGCUGUUUAUGCGCGGGUAUUCCGGGCUGGCCUCGCAUCCCGCGCCAAGCCAAGCGCCUUGCUCUCCUGGUCACGGCCUGGAGGCCCCGACUCAACGUAGGGAAUCAUGCCAGAAUUUCCCCAUUCGCCAGAGAGGGAACGGCCCCCCUCCCACUCAGUGCCACCACCAUCCAUCACCAGAGUUUCGGACCCCAAGGUGGCCCGAGCUUCACCGAUCAUCUUUGGGGUGGGGACCCCCCCUCCCGGCCUGACACUUCCUCCUAUGAAGGUUCGGUUACCCUCCUAUGAAGGAUGGGUGCACGGACCGCCUGCAGUCGUUGAGGAGCAAGAACAGGGCCAAGGACUGAGCGAUUUCUCAGCUCAGGCGACCACCCACCUCCUCGGACCCUGCUUAGUCCUGCACCCCGGGAUCCCUCUGCGGGCGCUAGAGGGGCCUGGGGGCAGCGGGGAGCUUGAGAUGAGCCGGAUGACUGCAGGCGCGGUGUCGGAGACCUAUCGGGUUCCCAACCCCGCGCCAUGCCACCCCCUGCCGAGGAUACCCCUUUUCAGCCUUGGUGCAAAUAGACCUUGGAGAAAGCAGGAAUCGGUCGUUUGCGCUGGUGGCAGCCUGAGGGGCAAGGAACAGGCCUUUCCACGGGUGCCCGACAUCAACCGAGCAAUCCGGUCGCGCGACAGAGCCCGACCACCACCGAAGAGGCUUUGGGGGCUUUUGGUGGGGACAAUCGUGGAGAGAAAAGCAUUCAUCCCCGCCUUGGUGCCCCCCCCAAAGUCUCACGGUGACAGUGACAUGACCCCAAAAAGCGAUGGCAAAGGGGGAGGCGGUUGGAAACCUGGCUCUGAGGUUGCCCUCACCCAAGGAGCUCCGGCUUCUUCCUAGAAUUUCUAGAAGCACUUUCGGAGGGACUGAAGGCUUCCGGCCCGACGCAGAGGAAUUUGAGCCUCGCCCCGGCGGCAGCCUGGGAGCGGAGAGGCUGCAGAGCCACAUUCCGCCCCAGCCGCCCCUGCUAGGCCCCAGGAAGCGCCGCGGAAAACAAAGCGCUGCGGUUUCAGCCCAAGGUUAAAGUCCACCGCGAGCGUUUCCCCCCCCUCUCCGGAAUCUGAGAGCGAUAGCGUUUCUCCAAAUAAACCGCCAAUAAAUCAGCUCCUGGGGCCGCCU